GGUGCAAAUGAUGUUUUUUUAGCGAUCAAAGCAUGAUAAUGUAUGAUUAUGACAAUUUUAUACUGAUGCACC